UAAAAAAAUGUCAAUCAACAUGAACAAACCGCAAAAGAAGUUUGAAAACAGUACCAAGGUUAAAUUAAAAUAUCAAUGUUUGAUGUUCACCUUCAAACAGGACUGAUUAAAUUUGAUUACCUUAGUGGCAUCUCUCUAGAGUCACUAUAAAUCAAACAUCAAAUCCUCUGAUCGGCACCAGAGUGAUCCACCUCAGCCCCGACCACAACCUUUUCUGUACAGUGGCAGUACUCAGUAAUGAGCAUGUUUCAAUUGAAGAGUUUUUUUGCUGUUUUGCUAGUGACUACUUUCCUUCUUCAAGAAGGUGUGCAAAGUUCCUCGGUCAGUAGCUGGAUUAAGAUGAACAGGCACUUGGUGUGUUUUGAGGGGAAGGGAAGCNGCUUUGGCUCUUUUCGUAACUAUGUCAGAUCAGGUUUGGUUGUGGCGAUCAAACUAAGACACGUCUGGCCACAUUCGCUGUGUGCCUAGCAGCAAGCACAAUAGUUAUUGGGGUUGCAGCCAGCUGCAUGGAAUGCACCAUCCCAUCAAUGUCGUGGUAACAGACCAGUAUAACCACGUUCUCUUUCCAAGGAAAAGAUACAGAAGGAUGAGGAACCAAGGAGGCAUGUGGUACUGGGUACCUUUUGCAAGCACAGCCUCUAGCAAAGAAAUCAUCUUCACUGAGUUUGCCAAUCCUUUCUACUUUCCGAAGAAUAAGCAGAUGAGGAUCUGGUACGGAGAAGAUUUGAC
rnacentral:misc_RNA from 1 species